GCCUCGGUCGUGUAGUGGAUCAGCACGACAGACACGACAGAUCUGUAAGUGCGGGUUCGAGUCCUGACUGAGGUU
rnacentral:tRNA from 1 species